ACUAGGCGCUCCUUUGGAUGCCCCACCUUGUCUUUAAAAAUUCCAAAUCCGAUGGUGCCCUCAUCCCGUAUUAGAGCUGCGUUCAACGCGUCCUUAUCUGGCUAUCCAGGUUGUUUCAUUUCCACCUCAAUUUCAGCAAACAAAUGGGAUUCGAAUCCUUUUCUUCUUAAGAUGAGAAAAACUUGAGCUUUCGAAGCUCCUUUGGUUAAAAAUUAUACUGUGUAUAUUAUUAAAGUUUGUUUUUAUGUAUAUGUAUUAGAUGUUGAAUCUCUUGUUGCGCAUUUGCUUAUUCAUAUUGUUGAAUCCCUUUAUGAAAAUAUCAUUUUAUUUAAGCUGAGGGUCAUUGGAAACAACUUUCUAUUUAUACAAGCAAGGUAGGGGUAAGGUUAAGGUUAGAAUUCACUUGUAGAAUUACACUGGGUAUGUAAUUGGUUAUGACUGGGAGAUCACGGGUUUAAGUUUUAGAAACAACACAGAAAUGAAAGGUGAAUCUGUGUACAAUAAUCUAUCUUUGUGGUCAGACUCUGUGUAUAGCGGGAGCUUUUUUUAAUGUUAUUGUUUAUGAACAUCCUGGUUCCGCCAUUGGGCUCUUGUACUUUGUGCAAAAAAAGAUUGGGGGAGAUCGGAGGACGAUAAUUAGUUUUGACGUGAAUUCACUUGUUGAUUUCUUAUUUCAAGACAUUUUUGAAUCUAGGACUCUCCUAAUCUCAACAGGUUUGAUGUUUUUCCCAGUCCAAGAUUCAAACUUUCUGAAACUUUAACCAAUAAGUUGGGUAGAGAAGUUGUUUCCGAUAGAUCCUACCAUUGUGCAAAGGCGGAGCCAGGAUUUGUGAUGAGGUUUUUCAAAAUUUAAAGAAAAACUAAUUGAAGGGGAUUCAACAUCUACAGUGUUUAAUCAUAUAAUUUUCUGCUUCGGCGGGUUUGGAUGAACCCCUUGUUAAAGGUUGGCUCCACCCAUGCCUUUGUGUGUGUAGGACGUAGGAGGGUAUAGAGGCUGUUUUCGAAAGACCCUCGGCUCAAAAGAAAGGUAAUUAUAGCAGGAUAGAAAGGAAAAUAACAACAACAAAAAUAGUAAGAUAAACAAAGCAAAUGAAGCAGCAUAUAGUAGUAGUAAAAGGGCAGGAUUGAAAUGCAUCUUUUUUCACUAAUUCCUGAAUGUUAACAAUGUUGAAUCUUGGGAUUGCAGUAAUAAGAGUGUGAUAUUUGUUUUUUGGUGAUUGUAUAUUUGGAGCUGAAGAUUCUUUCAGCUGCUGAUCCCUCAGUGAGUGGAAUAAAUACUGGCGAUGAAGAAGAUUGGGUGCCAUUGCACUCUGCAGCAAGCAGUGGUAAUGUGGAAAUUGUGGAGAUUUUGCUCAACAGAGGAUAAGACUGCUUUUGCUGAUGUAUUGAGGAAGAUCUCCAAGAUACAGAAGACUUCUUCAGGAAGUAGCUGUGUCGUGUUACGAGAGAGGACAAACCAAGACACAAAUAUAUGCUAAAAAAAAUAGUACAUAAAGAAUAGUAGCUAAACAAUGCUAACAAAAGCAGAACAGCAACAGAGUCCUUAUAGGAUACACACACGAGACUAAAAGUAACAAAAACAUAUUGCUGAUAUUAGGAUAACCUUGUUUCAUCUUGCAAAACUGCACUUCAACUUGAUAUUGGAGAAAUAGAAGAACGGCUAGAUGGAUUGGCACAAACUGAGUACAAGAUAUUUCAAGUUAACGCUCAACAAAUCAAUAUCUUUAAACUGUACAUCUUCUUCGUCACCACUAUUUAUACCACUCGCCGAGGGAUCCGCAGCUGCAAGAAUCUUUACCACCUAAUAUACAAUCACCAAAAUGUGAUUCAACAUUGUAAACAUCACAUUCAGGAAUUAGAUAAAAAUGUACUCUCUCCCCCCAAUUCGUUUUACUCCAUUUCUACUUUGAGAAUCAAACAUACAAUUUCUCUUACUAUGACUUUUCAAAUGUCAAAAAAACAAAAUUUGAUUUAUAUGAGUCCCCCUUAUAACCAAAAUAUUUUUUCC